CUUUUAUCCUCAUAACAUUAAGACUUUUUUUUAGACAAAUGUAGACUUUUCUUCUAUUUGCGCAACUUUUUUGUACAGAUUUUACUUUCCUGAAAACGUUUUUUUUCCGAUUUCCCUUUUUUGCAUACAUUUGACUGUAUUCUCAUUAUUUUAUGCCUACAUUCUGGAAAACCUUUUUUUCAAAAUAUUGCCAUUUUUAUGCAUAAUUUUGACUUUUUCACAUAAAUUGAAGACCACUUUCUUAUAUGUUUUUUUAAUAUUAGCCCCAACUCUGCGUUGAGACCUGGGGACUUAAAGAAAAAAAGAAGAGCAGGAGUUCUUUCUUUCAGAAUUUCCGCUGAUGAUUUAAUGUAUUCAUAAUGAAAAAUAAUAUGUGCCUCAUAAAUAUCUGCAGCAGAGACGUGGUGUCAGGUGCCCCAAGUGAGCAGAGUAUAUUGCCAUGCCAGGUAGUAAAUGUUGGGUAUAGGAAAGCUUGGCCUGCCCGCCUCAUUCUACGUCUUAUGGCUUCACUGCGCUCAUUUAUACCGGUGUGCUUAAACGGUGACAUACCAUAACUCAACACCUUCUGCAGCACAAAAAGCUGCAACACUGCUGAGGCGGAGCCGGCUGGAGGUGGGUACGGAGCUCUGCGGAGUGCGGGGAAAGAGGGGGAAAUGUGCAAAGAAUUACGGAGAAAAAAAGGUGCGUGUGUGCAUGUGUGUGGUACAUUUGUUUUACAUCCAAAUGCCUUUGUUAUGAGUCAUUGCCUGAAGCAGAACAAAUUACUGUAAAUGGAGCUAUUAGUGAAACAUGGAGGGCGAAAGGAGGAAUUCAAAUUAAAGUUUAGCUUGCUGGCCACUUAUUUUCCCUCCAUCUGCAUAAUUAUGGUAAGGACACCGAGUACUCGCAUGUAUGUGUGUGUACAGAUCGGAGGAGGGGGGGUUGCUCGUACAUGACCAAACAUGCGGGGUCGCUCCGGGUUUCUUUGAUUUGCCAAGGCUAUAAACACCCAGCAAGUCGCUCUCUAGAUAAUCAGCAGACUCACAACAAGCCAUUCUAAUUAUGAGGAUGAUGUCAAAGCGGGAGAGCAGCCAAAGCCGCAGAAGACACGAUUCUAAACAUAACAAACUCUGCAUCCAUACUGUCAUUUCUGCUCCAAUGGCGGAGCGUCGGAGGCUAAAAAAUGCGUCGGCAUCACUCCAGCGCUCCAGAACCAUCACAAGCCCUCGCUCCGGUCCUAACCGGCACAUCGGCUCAAGAGCAAAAGCGGCGCCAGAAAAGCCUCCUGAAGCUCCCCAUUACCCACUUCAGGGGUGUUAGAGCCGCCGACUAAACCUGUGGGAGAAAAAGCCCCCGUCCUGGAGAUUACUCCACACAUCCCAUAAUAUUAAGGACGAAGACUAAAACUUAAAGGACAUUUUCUGACAGAAAUGAUGAUGUAAUGCUGUUUUUCUCAGAUGAUCUUAUUAAAAAGUUAUGAAAAUACAGAAUUACAGUGAACUAAAAUCAACGUUUAGUCCAUUCUAAGGAAACUAAAUGGUGCCAAAAAUAGAUUAAAGUCUAGGAAUCAUUCUUUCAAUUGUGACAGUUUUCUGGACCAGUUGUCCCUAACCCACGUAUUGUUAGCAACGGUCCAUUGGACAGAUGAAAAAAAAAAAUAAAAAAUUUUCAAUUUAAUUCAUAAUCUAAUUCUGAAGGAAGUUUUAUUUUGAAAAACUACUGGAUUCUCUCCUCUUUCCUGACACAUGUCAAGUAAAAAAUCCUUCCACUACUUUCCUAAAGCGGCUGCUCCGACAGAUAAAUUAAGACAACAAAUGUAUUUGGAAAAUUUAGUUUAACAGAAAAGAGGAAACAAAAAAAGAGCUUUCGACUUCAAAAUAAAAGACUUCUAUAUUUGGCAGACACAAACCAGAAGUCUUUACUUCAAAUAAGCAUCCUACGAGGAUGCAGAUAUGCAUUACUAUUAUGGUCUGUGGGAAAAUACUAAUUUUAGUGACAGAAUUCUUAUGUAUUUUAUUAUUUUGUAUUAAAUCACUUUAUUUAUUAAUCCUUAAAGGAGUUAAGAUUUUUUUCAAUACUUGGUCAUAAAAUACAGACAUAUUUCAGACGUAUUCAUUGACUAAAAUAUUUUAUGUAUUUACUUUCCGCAAAAUAAUACAAAUGACAUUGGAGCAGAAAGAGGAAAACUUAAAAUUAAGUCUACAACAAUCACAGAAGUUUUGUUGACCUUUGACCCUUUGGAAGAGGCCGCCAUCUUAAGUAAAAAAAAAAAAAAAACUUUUGUACCAGCUACAAACAAAAACUCAUCCUCAAGAUUUUUGUCCUCUAACUUCUUGGGCAUCAUUGGGAAGCAAUUGUGCAAAAAUGUUGCAAUUAGAAGUUGUAGAUUUUGAACGGCGUGCGCGUGGCGAGCUAGCAAAAGUGGCGUUCUCCUACUACUUGCACAUUAUUUACCAGAAAAUUGUGAAAAUGUAAAGCAUGGAUCUCAAUCAGAAGUUGAACAAAAUUAUAUAAAAUAGGAGAUGAAAAUUUUUAGGAAUGUGGGCGUGGCUAACAAAAACCUUUGUUGCUAAGGAAAUCCAAAAAUGUACUUUUGACGAUUCUUCUGAAACUUACAUCUAUCUGUUCGGUAUCACCAGGUGACCAAAAGGUGCUAUGGAGAUAAAACCAACAGAAAAGCUGUUAUUUUGAAAACAAUGGAUUUUACAUCAGUUGGUCACAUCAAAUGUGGGCUCAUAGCUUUAAUUUUAAAUUUAAUUUAAAAUAUUUUUCAGAAAGAUAACUUACUGUUUUACAAAAGCAAACCUUUUCUCCCGAAGUAUGUGGCAUUGCAACGAUGUAGGAGGUAAAAAAGCAGAGGCAGGUGAGCAGCUUGACAGCAGAGCUGAGAGGCGAGCAUGUUUCAUGAUGGAAAUAUAAGGAAUAAUUUAUGCAGCAGUCAACCUUUAGUUAUCAAAUAAAUAUAAAAUAUAUGCACAUAUAUAGUGUUUGUCUUGUGUGCCAUCUAACCAUGUGUUUCAUGUUUAAGAAGGCAAACAAACAACUGAUUUGUGUGAAGGCAGCAGGAGGAUGGAGGGCUGCAUGACAAUAUGUACUUUACUGACUUAAACAUGAUUUACGUAGUGGAAACAUUGAAAUAAAGUUUGUUCACAGAUUCAAGUAAACUUGUAGGAA